rnacentral:snRNA from 1 species
GUGCUUACUUCAGCAGCACAUAUACUAAAAUUAGAAUACAGAAAAGACUAGCAUGCCCCUUGGGCACCGAUGAUAUACAAAUUCUUAAAAUAUUUCAUAGUUUU